rnacentral:rRNA from 1 species
CUGGCGGCGGCCCUAAUACAUGCAAGUCGAACGGCAGCACAGUCGUACCAAUACCAUGGGUGGCGAGUGGCGGACGGGUGAGUAAUGCAUCGGGAUCUACCCUGACGUGGGGGAUAACCUCGGGAAACCGGGACUAAUACCGCAUACCUCCUACGGGACAAAGCGGGGGACCUUCCGGCCUCGCGCUGUUUGACUAACCGAUGUGCGAUUAUCUAGUUGGCGGGGUAAUGGCCCACCAUGCGCUACUAUCCGCUAUCUGGUCUGAGAGGAUGAUCACCCACACUGGGACUGAUACACUGCCCACACUCUUACGGGAGGCAUUAGUGGGGAAUACUGGACAAUGGGCGCAAGCCUGAUUCCACCAACUGCCGCCUGUGUUGAACAAUGCCCUCUGGUUGUUUAACCACUUU